rnacentral:rRNA from 1 species
UGGGGAAUAUUGCACAAUGGGGCGCAAGCCUGAUGCAGCAACGCCGCGUGAGGGAAGACGGUUUUCGGAUUGUAAACCUCUGUCUUUGGUGACGAAGAAGUGACGGUAACCAAGGAGGAAGCCCCGGCUAACUACGUGCCAGCAGCCGCGGUAAUACGUAGGGGGCGAGCGUUGUCCGGAAUGAUUGGGCGUAAAGGGCGCGUAGGCGGCCUGGUAAGUCUGGAGUGAAAGUCCUGCUUUUAAGGUGGGAAUUGCUUUGGAUACUGCUGGGCUUGAGUGCAGGAGAGGAAAGCGGAAUUACCGGUGUAGCGGUGAAAUGCGUAGAGAUCGGUAGGAACACCAGUGGCGAAGGCGGCUUUCUGGACUGAAACUGACGCUGAGGCGCGAAAGCGUGGGGAGC